UGAGCUAGGGUUUUUCUUAUAGUUCUCCUUCUCUCUUCUUCUUCUUCCACCUGCUCUUUCUCGGUGAAAUAGAAAACUUCUCAGUAAGCUCCGAUUUGGAUCAAAGUCAUGGUGGGUUUUGAAGUCGGAGCGGUUCCGUUCAAUCCUGACGGUUGGGGUCCGCCCGAUUCCUCCACCGCCAAUUCCAUUUCCGUCCCAAACCACCCAUCCAAUGUCCCCUUCGCCCCGUUUUCCCGGUCUGACAAGCUCGGUCGAAUCGCCGACUGGACCCGAGCUAUUUCCAACCCGAAUCGUCCUGGAUCUAAUCCAUCCAACAAAAACGUUUCCGACUCUGCCUUUGAUUUCACCGGCGACGACUCUUUUGCAACCUUAGCCGCCGACGAGGACUCCUCUUUCCGUUUAGUUGACAAUGCCGCCUCGAAAUCCCACCACGGCCACCAUCAGAACCGCCCCAAAUUCAACCCCAGGUGGCGUUUCAACCCCCACCACCACCGCUCUCAGCUACCCCAGCGGCGUGACGAAGAGGUCGAAGCCCGAAAACGCGAAGCCGAGAAGGAACGAGCUCGUAGAGACCGUCUUUACAACCUCAAUCGCUCUUCCACCAACGCCGGACCUCGCCGCGAGUCUGCCGUCUUCAAAUCAUCCGUCGAUAUCCAGCCGGAGUGGAAUAUGCUCGAUCAAAUCCCCUUCUCCACUUUCUCUAAGCUCUCCUUCUCCGUACCCGAGCCGGAAGACCUCCUUAUAUGCGGUGGGCUCGAAUUUUAUGACCGGUCCUACGAUCGAAUUACCCCCAGAAACGAACGCCGUCUGGAGCGCUUCAAGAAUCGCAAUUUCUUCAAGGUGACAACCACUGAUGACCCUGUAAUCCGCCGCCUGGCCAACGAGGAUAAAGCUACAGUUUUUGCAACAGAUACGAUAUUGUCAAGUUUAAUGUGCGCUCCCAGGUCAGUUUAUUCAUGGGAUAUUGUGAUUCAACGCGUUGGGAAUAAGUUAUUUUUUGAUAAGCGUGAUGGAUCGCAGUUGGAUUUGUUAUCUGUGCACGAGACUUCUCAGGAGCCUUUACCUGAUGUGAAGGAUGAUAUAAACUCUGCUUAUUCAUUAAGUGUCGAGGCUGCUUAUAUAAACCAGAACUUUUCGCAGCAGGUUUUGAUUAGGGACGGGAAUAAGGUUACUUUUGAGGAGCCGAACCCAUUUGCAAACGAAGGAGAGGAAGUGGCCUCUGUGGCUUACAGGUAUAGGAGGUGGAAGUUGGAUGAUGAUAUGUACUUAGUUGCACGGUGCGAGGUUCAGAGUGUGGUGGAAUUGAAUAAUCAGAGGUCGUUUUUGACUCUAAAUGCGUUGAAUGAAUUUGAUCCUAAGUACUCGGGUGUUGAUUGGAGGCAGAAGUUGGAGACUCAGAGGGGUGCUGUUUUGGCCACUGAAUUGAAGAACAAUGCCAAUAAGUUGGCUAAAUGGACUGCUCAGGCGCUUUUGGGUAGUGCCGAUAUGAUGAAAUUGGGGUAUGUUUCUAGGGUUCAUCCAAGGGAUCAUUUUAACCAUGUGAUAUUGGCUGUUGUUGGAUAUAAACCGAGGGAGUUUGCCUCUCAGAUUAAUUUGAAUACCUCUAAUAUGUGGGGCAUCGUGAAGAGUAUCGUGGACUUGUGUAUGAAGUUGAAUGAAGGGAAGUAUGUGCUUGUUAAGGACCCAUCCAAGCCACAAGUGAGGAUUUAUGAGGUCCCACCUGAUGCAUUUGAGAAUGACUAUGUGGAGGAGCCGUUGCCAGAGGAGGAGCAGGUUCAGCCUCCUGCAGAGGAUGCUGAAGGUGGGGAGGCGAAUGCUACGGCUAAUGAUGUGGAGGACAAGGAUGUCAGUGCUGAACCGGUAGCAGCUUGAAUGGUUAGAAGCUAAGAUAAUGGUUCUAGAAGCUAAUUCCAGGAUUAAUCUAGCCUCAGCUGUACUUGCUUUACGUGUCUAAAAGUUGUUGAUAAUGGUUCUAGAAGCUAAUUCCGGGAUUAUUAUAGCCUCAGCUGUACUUGCUUUACAUGUUCAAAGAGCGUGACCCUGUUGCUUUAUGAUGAUCAAAGAUCGAACAGUGCCUGUUGCUUUAUGAUGAUAGAUAGAUAGAUAGAGAACAAUUUAGUCUCAAAAAAAAAAAAAAAAAAAAGGGGUUUGGUGUGUCCUCUUUGGGAAAAUAGAAUUUCAGCGUAGCUACAGGAUGGUGUUUUUGACAAUGGAUGUAUCAGAAUAUAUCUCAUGCUUUCAUAAUGCCCGUUGCUAGAGGGUUAAAUUUGCUGAAGUAUGUAGUCCCCUGUUAGAGAGUUGUAUUUGCCUCGAGUAUAUAUUCCAAGUAAGAAUCUGAA